rnacentral:lncRNA from 1 species
CCCCAGCAGGCUCUGUGGAUGCCCAGGUAUGCUGCUCUUAGCUUCAUUUUACAGCACUGAACAUUCUGCAAAGCAGCCCCAGCUCAGGGAAAGGCAAUCAGAAAAUAGUGGGUAAGAGCUAAGACAGGCAGUCCACCAUGGGGGCUGGUUCUUAGCAUAACCACCUGACCUGCCCCCAGGCCACCAGAGGGUGCCAUCCUCGAAACACCUCCCCAGUGGCAUGCAUGGAGGCGGACAGGACCUGUCGGGAGGGAGCAGGCUGAUUCUGAGGCUCUUCACUCCUUUCCAUGCUGACCGCAGAUCCACCCCCAACCUCAGAAAGAAGGUCAAAUGAAGACCUGACUCGCUGCAGGAAACCAGCCAUGCCUCUAACCUUGGCUUUGCCCUUGGCUUCCUGCCUGCCCCAAGAACACCCCUGACUGUUCUCCAGUGCAUCUCGAUUCUACCAUAGCCUGGGGAGACAGCCAAGCUCUUUGCCAUGGCAUCGGCCUCCCUUUCCCUUUUGUUGGAGAAAGAAAAAAACGAAGGAAAGAUGAGCAACAUCUCUCUCCCCGCCAUCUCCUCAUUCUCUUCCUCAGUUUCUUACGAGUGAAAUCACCCAAGAUAUAAAUAACACAUUCUAAAUAAAGCCAUGUUUGACUGCAGCACAAGACAUAUCUGUGUACGCAUGUGACUGUCAGCCUCCAGUGGAAGUCAUGUUUGUGUAAUUAAUUUUCCUAGCAUCCGAGGAAAGAGACAGGCAGUCCUGUGGUCCGCCCUGCCCUGCUGCUCCCCAAACACUGAGAGAACGCUGCGCUUCGCUCUCGCCGAGUGACUGGUGCGCAGGGAUGGCUUUUGUUCCCAUGCAGUUCCUGUGCUUGGGACCUUUAUUUCUCAAUUACUGCAGAUGGAAAGAAAGGUAAAUAAAAAUAGAGGAGCAGACA